UCACCCAAGUUCACUCAUUUUUGUUGAUGUGCUGGCAAUAAUAACAUUUUUGUGAACGAUUUCACCCAAAUCCACUCAUUUUCUGUUGGUGUGAUGGCAAUAAUAACAUUUUUGUGAACGAUUUCACCCAAGUUCACUCAUUUUUGUUGAUGUGCUGGCAAUAAUAACAGUUUUGUGAGUGAUUUCACCCAAAUUCACUCAUUUUUGUUGAUGUGCUGGCAAUAAUAACAGUUUUGUGAACGAUUUCACCCCAAUCCACUCAUUUUUUUGUUGAUGUGCUGGCAAUAAUAACAUUUUUACCUCCGUUUCCAGCCUGAAAAUCCCUCCUGUCUCUUUUUUUCUGCCCAGCAUGUCCUGAGCGGGAGCAGCACGGAGGAAUGGAGUAGGAGAAGGAGCAGCCUGGCACUCGCCCACCUCAACGACCUUUGGGGACAAAACCUCGCCACCACCUUCUUCCAAGUCCUGCAAAUCCUGGAGCCUCCUCUGCCUCCAAGUUGCAAAAUCCUUUAAAUUUUGGGAAUCACUUUUUUGUUGUUUUUUUAAAAGAAGAAGAAGAAGAACAAAAACCAAACAAACCCCCCCAAAAAAUCCCCAAGCAAGAACAGCACUUUGCAGGUUCUGGUGUGUUUAGGGACUGGUGUGUGGGGAGCAUUGCCACGGUGCAAAUACUCACUGUGUAUCCUCGGAGUAAGUCCAGAGCAUCCUCCAGCUCAUGAAUCUCCAGCCCAGAAAGAGAAUUUAUUUUUGGUUUGGGUGACAAACCCUUCCCUUGGCUCGCUGCUGGCCAGCGUGGAGAUCUUUGGCUUUGAGCUGCACCCCCAGCUCCUCCAGGACACCCCAAAAUCUGCCACCCCCGGGAACAGCGGCCACAGGCAGUGGGAAGAGCUUUUCCCUCUUUUUUCCACUCAGUGUGAGUUUCCUCCUGAGGAUUCCAAGUGCCCACGGCUUUUCCAGCUUCCACCAUCCUCCAGAACUCAUUCCCAGCAGGGAAUCCCGUGGUUUUCCCGUGGUUUUUUCCCUGGUUUGUCCCAUCCUGGUGCGUGAGGCUCUCUGAAGGGAUCCCACACGACCCCACAGAGCCUCUCCCGGGGCACACACCCCAGAGGCUCUGGGAUUUGGGAUUUGGGAUUUGGGGUUUGGGAUUUGGGGACCCUCACGGGACAGGGACGUUCUCCACAUCUCGUCCUCGUUGUGUUGUGCCACUGGAAUUCCCUCGCUGCUGGGACCUCCGAGGAGCUGCUGGAAUGUUGGGAGAGUCCCUCAAGAGGGGCUCACCCAGCAGA
rnacentral:lncRNA from 1 species